rnacentral:rRNA from 1 species
AUUGAACGCUGGCGGUAUGCCUAACACAUGCAAGUCGAACGGUAACAGAGGAAAGCUUGCUUUCUUGCUGACGAGUGGCGGACGGGUGAGUAACGCGUGGGAAUCUACCUAGUAGUUGGGGAUAGCCCGGAGAAAUCCGGAUUAAUACCGAAUGUGGUCUACGGACGAAAAGGUGCCUCUUCUUGAAAGCACUUGCUACUAGAUGAGCCCGCGUCAGAUUAGUUUGUUGGUGGGGUAAAGGCCUACCAAGACUGCGAUCUAUAGCUGGUUUGAGAGGAUGAUCAGCCACAUUGGGACUGAGACACGGCCCAG